rnacentral:rRNA from 1 species
GACGAACGCUGGCGGCGUGCUUAACACAUGCAAGUCGAACGGAAAGGCCCUGCUUUUGUGGGGUGCUCGAGUGGCGAACGGGUGAGUAACACGUGAGUAACCUGCCCUUGACUUUGGGAUAACUUCAGGAAACUGGGGCUCAUACCGGAUAGGAGCUCCUGCUGCAUGGUGGGCGUUGGAAAGUUUCGGCGGUUGGGGAUGGACUCGCGGCUUAUCAGCUUGAUGGUGGGGUAGUGGCUUACCAAGGCUAUGACGGGUAGCCGGCCUGAGAGGGUCACCGGCCACAUUGGGACUGAGAUACGGCCCAGACUCCUACGGGAGGCAGCAGUGGGGAGUAUUGCACAAUGGGCGGAAGCCUGAUGCGGCAACGCCGCGUGCGGGAUGACGGCCUUCGGGUUGUAAACCGCUUUCGCCUGUGACGAAGCGUGAGUGACGGUAAUGGGUAAAGAAGCACCGGCUAACUACGUG